rnacentral:lncRNA from 1 species
GGCCGAGACAUCGUCGUAACCUUCGUUGGGAAGCGUUUCUAGAAUCUUCGUACCCUCAAAAGGUGGGGGGUGUCAUUCCGAAGCAACCGAGCUCUUUUCUAUGUCUUAGAAAUACAUGAUUUUCACAUCUUGCAUGUUGCAUUGUAGGAUUGCAUUGUAGUACCUUUUCCUUAUGCUUCUAAAUGUUAACCUAGUGUGCAUGGAAUACUUGGUGAAAUGGAUAGGUAAGGAUUGGGUCGGAACAUGGAUCCUAUAGUGCCAAAAGAAAGAGAUGAACUCGAUGGUUAUUCAGUGACAUAGAGAGUGGCAUUAAUGUAGUGUACUUGACACUAGAGGUUCAUGAACUUAGGGAUAGGUAGAUUCCCUAGUAAAUGAUUUGUGAACAAUGAACUUAGUAUAGCUAAGUAUGCAUGAUUGUCGAAAUAGAUGAGUUCCGAGAGAAUGUUGGCCCUAGUUCGUAGGGUAUACUCACGUGGAGAGGAUAGAUCAAGCUCACGGUCUGUUAUUUAGGAUGGUAAAGCCAUCCAUAUCCUCACAUGGAGAGAAUUUGUCAGUACUCCGGAGUGUCGGGCGAUUAUGACAGAGUUGAUGUCUGUAGACAGUCCCGGGUUCGGGGGCACAUGGAGUCUCCUUACCCUAUGGGAUGGAUAUGUGAGGCGUAGGCAAACCCAAGGGUUUCGCCACAGAUUGGGUAAAUGAAAAGUUAAUAUUGUCAUCGAACAUUGCUUAUCGAAUAUGGAUCGAACUUGUUAGCAUGAUAGUAAACUUUUACUAAAUGAUGCAUGCAUUCAUUUCACAUGAUUAUGGGCAUAGUAGCAUAGUUUUUCUAUUAUGUAUUUACAGCUUUGAUGUAUAUAUUUAUCUGUUUCGUUGUUACUUUUGCCUACUUGGACCUAGUGGGGAGAUCGGCGGAGUCGGCGGCCGAGCCCACUGGGAACUAUGGAAGAUAGUUCUCACCCCACUUUAUUUCCAGGGCUAGGUACAGGUUUGCCGGGCGAGGACCGCGGCAAGGGCAUCGCGCCCGACCAGUGAGGAUUAUUAGUAGAGUAGUAGCUUUUCUUUUGCAUUAGCACACCUAUGUAUUUGAGAGAGAUUCAUGUAAGUGAGGACUUUGGAGAGCUAUGUACUUGAUGAGCAU